GUCAUUCACCUCGCCAACCCCACCUCGAGUCACAAGACGCGCCACAUUCCUGGGAGCAGGAAAUGGACACAAAGAGCCACCGUGUUUGGCAACACUGACUCAUUCGGCUGUGACCCCGUACGUCAUUCUUUUAUUUUUUUCCCUCGGUGUGUCCAAAUGAUGAUUAAUAUCUGUUUUCUAUCUCCGCGCUGAAUGGUCGCCGCGGCAAACAAGAGCACCUCUUGUUUGGAGGAAGAAGGGAAUUCCAGGCUCCCAGGCUCCGGGACCUCGUAAAGGCUAAAUUGGAUAAUUUGAGGGAAAACGGACAGAGGUCAUAUCUCAUUUCCAUCUUUCUUUUUCUUGAGAUUCAAAGAUAGUCACGCAAGUCACUCGGCGUGCCGAGGGUUUGUUUUUGCUUAAUGCUGCUUCACAAAGACGGAUCAAACCGCUGCGACAAAAAGGGCGACGGAGAAGUCGGCUCACCUCAUCAACCGCCAUAAUCGCCAUUGUAACAACCGCGCUUUGUCGCCUGAAUGGAGCAAAGCGCCGUGAUUUUGCAACAACAAAACGAAUCCUCCAGGGAGCCAGUUGCUGCCCCGCCGGUCGGCCCACCUCCGCCGCCGCCGCCGCCGCACAAAGCCGCGCACAAGGACCCGCGGACAAUAAACAGAAACAGUAGGAACCCUUCCCUAAUUUGACUUGCUCCACAGGUGGUCGCCAGCUGCCGGCGAACAGGUUACCGGGGGCCCCGGCGGAGGAGAGGGGACUUUCAUUUCAAGCGGAACAAUGGGCAACCGCUCAGGUCCCAAAACCAGGAGGUCUUUCUCCAUUUUAUUUUUAUUUGGCAGCGCCUGGAGGGGGAAAGACCCGGCUACGCUUGCGGCUGGAGGCCUGCUUUUACUCAGCCAAUGAGAAGGCAAACAGCAGAACUCAUUUAACUCAUAAUUACAUGGCUCCUCAAACUGAAUGGGGCUUCAGUGUUGGAAAUGGCCAAUGGUCAUCCUCUUAAAAUCCUUGAAAUCCCAUGAAUGUGCCACCGUACCUCAGCGAAUCUGCACAUCCAGAUUAAUCGCGUUACUGCUGAAGCAACCGCCGCCGACCCAGAUGAACGCAUGAAGACGGCCUUUUGUCUUUGAUGUGGAGACACUCGGGCACAUGGUCGGAUUCAAGUGACUCGUCUCCCCCAUGAAUGGAAGAUGAAUUUGAGCAGAAGAUGCCCGCAGGCAAAGGGGCUUUUCCCGAUAAUCCCUGGUGAGAUCUUGUAUGUGGAAGCUCUGAUCUCCUGAGGCGGAAACAGACACCUGACCACCCAGUGAAAUGACCCCCAGAUGGUAAAAAUAAUCGUUGGAACGUGAGACGCAACAUCGCUGUGUGUCUCCGGGGAUGAUCCAAGAGUCCAAGACGUUAAACUCUACUGGCCGCCACCGGGACUGCAACCGCAUCGCUGGCACGUGGGCUACAAUGGACGACAAGCAGCAAUUUGUUUUAUGCAAAUGGGGCGCGAUGGCGUCCAAAAUGACAGGGAGAAUUGUGGAAAUUGUCGUUGAAACGGCCUCGGAAAAGCAACCGUUUUUCUUGGCAGCAGCAGAAACGGUGGUUGCUGGCACGCGGCGCGUUCAUUGGCCUCGGCUAAUAUCCGUUCUGUUUGGUUCAGUGGAGUUUCUGUCUGAUCCAACCACACAGCGUCCAAAAGUGGAUUCAACCACAAGAAGAACGCAACUUUCUUAUCUGUAACGGCCCCACAGGAACAAUUAAAUUCACUUCUUGGCACCAGAUGGGAGGAAGAAUUGUACACUUUUGUUUCUCACAUUAAUGUAGAGUGAUUAUUUCUCACUUUUGAAACAAUACAAACGCUGGAUGGUAAUAAAAGCAAAUGUAAAAUAAUUCUAGAGUUUUUAGAGUCAAACUGGUUUCCUUCACAGUUCAUCCGGGGCUGCGUUUGACGCGCCGUGGCGGCGGCGGCGGCGUGCCGUCCCUUUCGGGGUCACCUUAAACCGCGGUCAGGGUGCUCAGCUUCUCCCCUCGGAGCCC
ensembl:lncRNA